rnacentral:rRNA from 1 species
CCUACGGGUGGCAGCAGUGGGGAAUAUUGGGCAAUGGAGGCAACUCUUACCCAGCACUGCCGCGUGAAUGAAGAAGGUCUUCGGAUUGUAAAGUUCUUUAGUUAGGGACGAAAAAAAUGACGGUACCUGAAGAAUAAGCUCCGGCUAACUACGUGCCAGCAGCCGCGGUAAUACGUAGGGAGCAAGCGUUGUUCGGAAUGACUGGGCGUAAAGGGUGCGUAGGCGGUUAUACAAGUUAGAAGUGAAAUACCUAGAGCUUAACUCAGGUGCUGCUUCUAAAACUGUAAGACUUGAGUGCAGUAGAGGUUAGUGGAAUUCCUAGUGUAGCGGUGGAAUGCGUAGAUAUUAGGAGGAACAGCAGAGGCGAAGGCGACUAACUGGACUGUAACUGACGCUGAGGCACGAAAGUGUGGGGAGCAAACAGGAUUAGAUGCCCCGGUAGUC